rnacentral:lncRNA from 1 species
CUUGACCUUCCACUGAAGAAUAGAUUCUACCUGCAACCACUUCCUCCAGCAGAAGCUGCAGCAAGGGCGAAAGAGUCCGCAAAGGACAUUGUGAAUCUCAAGGAAUUGAUAGAGAAGAAGCAAUGGCCUUACGUCCAAAAUGACCUCCGCCUCAAGGCCUCUUACCUCCGCUUUGACCUCAAUACCGUCAUCUCCGCAAAACCCAAAGAAGAGAAGAAGCCCCUCAAGGAGCUCACAGGGAAGCUCUUUGCUACAAUUGAUGAG